GGUAAUUAGUUUAAUUAAAACAAAUGAUUUCGACUCAUUAGACUAUGGUACAACCAUAAUUAUCA
rnacentral:tRNA from 1 species